UGGGGAAUUGUUCGCAAUGGGCGCAAGCCUGACGACGCAACGCCGCGUGGAGGAUGAAGAUCUUCGGGUCGUAAACUCCUGUCGAGUGGGAAGAAUAGUUUCCGGGCGAAUAUCCCGGGAGCCUGACGGUACCACUAAAGGAAGCCCCGGCUAACUCCGUGCCAGCAGCCGCGGUAAUACGGAGGGGGCAAGCGUUGUUCGGAAUCAUUGGGCGUAAAGGGCGCGUAGGCGGCCGGCCAAGUCGGAUGUGAAAUCCCUCGGCUCAACCGAGGAACUGCACUCGAUACUGGUUGGCUAGAGUCCGGGAGGGGAUGGUGGAAUUCCCAGUGUAGCGGUGAAAUGCGUAGAUAUUGGGAAGAACACCGGUGGCGAAGGCGGCCAUCUGGACCGGUACUGACGCUGAGGCGCGAAAGCCAGGGGAGCGAA
rnacentral:rRNA from 1 species